rnacentral:rRNA from 1 species
UACGAAGGGGGCUAGCGUUGCUCGGAAUCACUGGGCGUAAAGGGCGCGUAGGCGGACUUUUAAGUCGGGGGUGAAAGCCCAGGGCUCAACCCUGGAAUUGCCUUCGAUACUGGGAGUCUUGAGUUCGGAAGAGGUUGGUGGAACUGCGAGUGUAGAGGUGAAAUUCGUAGAUAUUCGCAAGAGCACCGGUGGCGAAGGCGGCCAACUGGUCCGAUACUGACGCUGAGGCGCGAAAGCGUGGGGAGCAAACAGG